CUGAACUUACUGAUAACACACAGCAGCCAUAUUGAACACAUGUAACUGUAAUGAACCAAAUAAAACAGAGAAAUGCAGGCAGCACUCAUUAUACUGUGUAUAACACAACAUGGGGUUGUAUUUUUUUCUUUUCAGAUGCUCCUGUCACUCCAUUUCCCAGGUCAUCACAGAACUCCCACACAUGGAGCUCUCCUGCAGUAUGCAGUGCAAUGCCCCAAACCGUCACUGGUCAUCUUUCCAUGGAAAACAAUUAAUGCCCUCAAAGUGAACGACUUUCCUUGGAGAACCAGGUUGGAGGGAAAUUCAUUCAGUGGAAAUUCUGUUUGGUUUGCAAGAGAUGGAUUGGAGAGUGGCCUGAGGCAGGUAGACUCAGGUAGGCCGAGUCCUGCUUCCACAGCAGUGCCAAGAUGAGCCAUACCAGACUCUCUGAGGACAGAGAAGGCAGGAGAAACAAAUGGCACUUCCCUUGUCAUCCCUUUGCUGAGGUAGCAGUGCUGUGAAGAGCAGUGUUGGUAAAAUAAACACUUGAGAUGUUCCUCAUUGUCUUAGCAAUUACAGCGGAGAUAUUGCACUGAGCAUGGAUUUGGAUCGCAGCAGACCUCAACGAGACAGCUUCAAACAUUACACUAAGCAGCUCUGCUCUCCUCCUGUAGGUUUGCUGGGUCACACCAUCUGUGGCAAUGGCUUUCACCAGCUGCAGGACUGGGUUUUCACUGUCCUUCAGAACAGCAUUUUGAAAUGUGGAGCUGUCACAGAAGCCACAACAUAAGCACUGAAAAAAUGCAUCAAAUGCACAGAGAUUGUUGAUUCCCUUAAUCUAACAGGCUGAUGAAGGUUUCCAUUUUUUAAUAAUCCCACCUUCACUCUUUUGGCCCCAAAAGAUUCAUCUGCAUGGAGCCAUUCGGUACAUGGAGAGAGGGAGGAAGUCCUCUUCCUUAUUUUGGGUGGAACAGCCAGGCCCCUCCAGUUCUCAACUGCAUCUUCAUGAGUCGGAGGAAUUUUUGUGGCAGCAUCAGAUCCCACAAACGGAACAAAUCCGCAUAUUUCCCUCGAUGAAGGAAAGAUGACGAGCA